UACGAAGGGGGCUAGCGUUGCUCGGAAUCACUGGGCGUAAAGGGUGCGUAGGCGGGUCUUUAAGUCAGGGGUGAAAUCCUGGAGCUCAACUCCAGAACUGCCUUUGAUACUGAGGAUCUUGAGUUCGGGAGAGGUGAGUGGAACUGCGAGUGUAGAGGUGAAAUUCGUAGAUAUUCGCAAGAACACCAGUGGCGAAGGCGGACUC
rnacentral:rRNA from 1 species